CGAAUGCACGUGCGGGAUUUAGCCGCCGCCAGUCACCACCAGGAUGAAAAACAAACCAGAAGAGCGAGAGAGAAAGGGAGUGCAGGGACUUGGAAAGGAGCUCUCUGUAAGCUCCAUCAACAUGAAUGGAAGUGCACAGCAACCAGGCUUGAGAGAUGUUCCCUAAUCAUGUAAGACUCGUUUAUUCAAUGGAAACAAACAAAAAGAUGCAAGUGAAAUGAUACUACUUGAUCAGGUCUAUGAAAACUGAAGAAAGUUGGAAUGGGUGAGUGGCACUAGUGGCUCCGAGUUCACUGGAGUGACAAGAAGCAAAAAGGAGGACAGGGCACUUCUACAAGAAAAGAGGUCGUUCAGUAGGUGCUCAUCCCCAUUACUGAUUCUGCUCGGCUUGACCUCUGCCGUGAUCCUGACCUCUGGCUACUUGUUCACUCUCGAUUCCUGACCAUCUGACUGGUGUAUUCUUGAUUUCUGGCUACCAGUUUAUCUUCUCAUUCCUGACAUUCUGCUUGGCUUGUCCUCUGGUGUGUUCCUGAUUUCUGACUACUGUUUUCAACCCUGAUUGCUGACUGGUUGCCUGGCUCUCCUCAUCCCAGCUUUGAGACUUGUGCUACCUAGUGAAUAAAAUAAGUUUAUUGUUGUAA